GACGAACGCUGGCGGCGUGCUUAACACAUGCAAGUCGAGCGGAAAGGCUCCUUCGGGGGUACUCGAGCGGCGAACGGGUGAGUAACACGUGAGUAAUCUGCCCUGCGCUCUGGGAUAGCCACCGGAAACGGUGAUUAAUACCGGAUAUGACCGCUACACGCAUGUGUUGGUGGUGGAAAGUUUUUCGGCGCAGGAUGUGCUCGCGGCCUAUCAGCUUGUUGGUGAUGUAAUGGCGCACCAAGGCUUUGACGGGUAGCCGGGCUGAGAGGGUGACCGGUCACACUGGGACUGAGACACGGCCCAGACUCCUACGGGAGGCAGCAGUGGGGAAUAUUGGACAAUGGGCGGAAGCCUGAUCCAGCAACGCCGCGUGAGGGAUGACGGCCUUCGGGUUGUAAACCUCUUUCAGUACCGACGAAGCGAAAGUGACAGUAGGUACAGAAGAAGCCCCGGCUAACUUCGUGCCAGCCGCCGCAGUAAGAC
rnacentral:rRNA from 1 species